rnacentral:RNase_P_RNA from 1 species
GGUACGGGAGACUUUAUCGCCGGGAAACCGGAGGAAAGUCCGGACAGGAAAGGGCAAUGCGCUGUAGAAAGCACAGAUGGGCGUAAGCUUAUGUUCGGGGUAACAGAAAACAACCGCCCCUAUCCGCAAGGCUAGAGGUAAGGGUGAAAACGCGAGGCAAGAGCUCACGACUGGUUAUGGCGACAUGACGAGGGUACUCCACCGCAUCCUGCAAGGCUAUGUAUAUCGGCAUUUAAGGGCUGCCCGUCCUUUGCCGAGGGGUAAGCUGCGCCAGAUAAAUGAUAAAGACCCGCAAGGGGACAGAAUCCGGCUUAACCCGUACCUUAA